CUUGCCCUCUGUUUCGCUUACAGCGAGGCAUAGGGGCUGCCAGGUCGUUGUAUAGGAGCUCCCCCUGUAUCGCCACGCCAUCGCUCCAGGCUGCCGGCGCGUCGCAACUCCACCGCGCUCGCGCUCGCGCUCACCGGAGGACGGAGGUGCCUCCAGCCUCCUUCUCGCACGCCGCCCCACUCGCGCCACGUCCUCGCUUACACGCUCGUGGUGUCCUUUCGUGCUCUGCGCCGGCGCCCUAAGGGCGUUUGGCGAAAUGCCGACCCGGAUGCCGGUUCUUGGACUGCCGUAGAGGAGCAGGCCGGACUCGUGGAGCAGGCGCGUUCUGACUUGUGAAGCGUGGUGUAUGUGCCGGAGCUGUUUCUUGGCCGGCCGCGUGGCGUGUAGUCCUUGGAGGGAGUGGACAUGGUACGUAUGCGUUUCUGUUCGCGAUCCCUCUCGUCUUCUGCUUGUGAUUGCAUGCCUUGUUAUGUGUUCGUCUGUGUUACGUGCAUUUCAUCAAACUACAAAAGAUGCUGCUAGUCGUGUUACAUUCUCUAAUCUUCAUUUCAUUUCAUUUCAUUCAAUGCUUGGACAAAUACUAAUUCUCUAACUCACCUCCGGCUUAUGGCACAUAGUAUGUAUCUGCACUGCACUCGAACGGGAAGCAUUCUCAAUCCUUUACUAGGAACCGUUUCACAUGUUUAUACUUUGCCCCAUGAUCGUCCAACUUAAGCACAUAGGACUAUAUAAUACUGCUCUAGUGCUGUGUGUGCCCGGUAGUUGCAUUACAUUCUCUCAUUACACUUCAUUCGGCACUUGAACCAACAAACACUUGCUGUAAAGUAUACUUGGGUUGGGUAACUCACCUCCAGCUCCUAAAAUCCGCUUAUACAAAGCAAACAUCUGAAUGGAAACCAUUCUCAGUGCUUGCAUGAGAAAACAAGAUAAUCAUUCCACAUGUUUAUACCUUUUCCUAUGCUUGUGAAUUAAGAAUAUUACUACUUCAGCAAACAUCGAAAGUAAGAUGAAUUUUACAAAACUCUUUCCUUAAAGACUUACAAAGAUCAGAAUGGCAGUCUGUCAAGCUAUGUGCAAAACAAACUGUACGGUUAUCAGAAGCACUAGUUCUAGCGGAACUAAAAAAGUUGCAACUACAUCGUGCACGAAAACACAGGACUAUCUAUCAUUUGAAGUCCACUAUAUGUUGGCUGAUCUUUGCAUCUCUGGCUCGGCUUUUAUACUGGACAGGCAGGAGACUACUUCCAUGAUAGUUGGCCUCCUGAAUUGAUUAUGGUCAACACACUUGCAAGCGGCUUCAAGCACCUUCAGCAUUUGCUCUUCAUACCCUGUUCCUUUAAGUGUCGGGUCCAUGACCUCAAUCUGCUUUCCCUCAGACCUCAUCUGUAGAACCCAUGGGACAAGUUCCUUUGGUGUACAAAACACCGAAACAGGCCGCCUUCCUGUAAGCAGCUCAAGCAGGACUACUCCGAAACUGUAUAUAUCACCUCUCAGCGUAGCAACCCAUGCUUGCCCAUACUCAGGUGGGAUGUAACCCAUAGUACCUACCACCUCCGUUGUGACAUGAGUGUUGUUGGGAAGGAUCAAUCUGGCUAGCCCAAAGUCUGCCACAUAAGCUCUAAAUUCUUUGUCCAGUAGGAUAUUACCAGAUUUGAUGUCACGAUGGACAAUUUGAGGGUUGCAGGCAUCAUGGAUAUAAGAAAGGCCCAGGCUUGCUCCUUGUGCGAUCUUGAGCCGAGUAGGCCAGUCAAGCAAUGAGCUAGCACCAUCAUCCCUGUUAUGCAGCCAAUCAUCCAGGCUUCCAUUCUCCAUGUAGGAAUAUACGAGAAACCUUGAGUUUCCCUGGACGCAGUAACCCCACAGUGGUACAAGAUUUUCAUGUUGUGCCCUGGAGAGUGCAUCAACCUCUGCACUGAACUCCCUUUCCAUUAGACACAUUUCACCGUUGAGCUUUUUGAUUGCCAGCCUGGAGCCAUCAGAUAGCUCUGCCUUGUAGACUAAUCCAUGACCUCCACAUCCAAUGAUAUUCGCCUUAUCAAAAUUGUUCGUAGCUUUCAAAAUGUCAGCGAAUUUGAGCUUGUUUUCUACUCCCUUGCCUUGUGGUAUCCGCACCACAACUAAUGUUUGCUCUGAACUGGAGGAGAAUGAAGAUUCUUCAGCAUCUCCAUUACUUUCCCUUCUAUUUUUUCCUGUAAAACCCUUCUGCCUAAUUGAGACAAGGAGACGCGCCAGCAACAAAAGAAUAGCUAUGCCUCCGAAGAACACGCCAAAUGCAAUCGCAAAAACAGCCUUCUUGUCUCGUUUUUUUCUGGAGGAUGGAGAUAUUGAAUCUUUACCACAUUUGUGAGUGAGCAUAGAGCCGCACAGCUUUGGAUUCCCAUUGAAACUAGAAUUCUGAAAUGUAUUAAACUGGCCUCCAGAGGGAAUAGGGCCUUCUAGGUCAUUGCUUGAAAUGUUGAAUUUUGAAAGGAAGUUCAGGGUGUUCAAUGCAGCUGGGAUUGCACCUGUGAGAUUGUUGCUGGACAAGUCUAGCACCUGCAAGUUCGUGAGGUUGCAAAUCGAUUGGGGGAUCUGUCCAGAUAACCUGUUGAAGCUGAAAUCAAGUACAGCAAGCAAGUUCAACCGACCAAUCUGUGGGGAAAUCACACCUGAGAACUUGUUGUUGCUUAGAUUCAACAUUGUUGGGAAAGAUGUAACCACACGGUAUUGAAGUGAUGGUCCGGUAUAAACAGGCAGCUCAAAGACCCUUGGGUCGAAAUGAGUUGUGUUGUCAGUUGAUUUUAGCAUUGGCAUCUCCGUGAAAUUUAAGGGGAUUUCUCCUGUAAGAGUGUUGUUUGACACAUCUAUAUAGAAGAGACGGCUUAAGGAGUUGAUCCAGUCCGGUAUUGAUCCACUGAGUUGAUUGCUUCUUAAAAUUAACAUCUUCAAUUGUGUCACUCUUGAUAUCCAUAGAGGUAUUUUUCCAGAUAAUUGGCAACCAUCCAUGUCCAACACCUGAAGAUUCUCAAAACCACCAAUUCUGUCAUCCUCUGGCAUGAGCUCUGCCCUGAAAUUGAACGAAAUAAGUAGGGUGGUAAGGUUCUUGCUGCUCUGAAGGAUCUGAAGCGCAUUUGCGAUGUUUGUGAAAUUGUUUUUACCAAGUGACAAGAAGGAGAGGUACUUCAGAUUGCCUAUUCUCGAUGAGAGCUGACCGUAUAACUUGUUGUUAGCUAGCCGCAGCGCAGUCAGGUUACUGCACGAGUACAUACUUUCUGGAACUGUACCGGUGAAGUUGUUGGACCAAAGAUCUAAAGUUCUUAGAUUGGGCAGGUUGGAGAAAUUGACAUUGCUAAGUUCUCCUCUGAGUUUGUUGCUCUUGAGGUCAAUCGUUAUGAGAUUUGUGCAGUUGCUCAGAGCAUAUGGCAGCUCCCCUGACAUGUUGUUGUUGUUCAGAUGGAACUCCUCCAGUCUCUUGAGUUGACCUAUAUAAUCUGGAAUCUUUCCACUGAAUUGGUUCCCUCCAAGAUCAAGGGUUACAAGAUCUCUGAGGUUGACUAUGCGUGUAUUAUCAAGAACUCCAUAUAAACCAUUGUUUGCGAAAGACAGGUAUUCCAAGGAGGUUGCAUUGAAUAGUUCAUUUGGGAGUCUUCCACUGAGGUUGUUAUACCCAGCCCUGAGCUCUCUUAGCUUGGAGCAAUCACCAAGUCCUGGGGGUACUCUGCCACUGAAUUUGUUGAAACACAGAUCAAGCAUCUCGAGGGAUGGGAAGGUGCUACAUAAUUGAGUUGGUAUCUGCCCAGUAAAGCUGUUAUUGCUGGCAUUGAGUGCUCUCAGAUUCUCCAUUGCUUUCCAUGUGGUGGAUGGAAACUGUCCUACAAAUAAGUUGCUUGAGAUGUUUAGUACCUGCAGAGGCCUGCCAGGGGUUGAAGAAGAUGCCAGCAUCUCUUGGAGUGUUCCGUUGAGCUGGUUAAAGCUAACAUCAAGUGUUGUGAUGCUUCUGGACGACACCAAUCCCAGCGGCAGACCACCGGACAGCGAGUUGUCAGAGAGAUCAAGGUGUUGCAGCCAGGUAAGGUUUCCAAGGGAUUGCGAGAUGUGCCCCUCGAGGCCCUUGGAAGGCAGCAAGACAUGGGUGACCGUCCUAUCUUGCCUGCAGGUGAUCCCUUCCCAAUUGCAGCAAUCUGUGGUAUUCCGCCAUGUCGCAGAGAGGCCAUGGUCUUGUGAGAGCUGAGCAAGGAACUGGAGAAGGGCGCCCUUCUCCUGGUCUGUGCAGCAACUGGCAGGAGAGGCCCAGCAGAGCAGCAGCACAAGAGCAAGGCCAAGGGAAGGUAUCUUGCUGCAUGUCUUGUUGGAGAAAUGGAGUGUGUGCAUGGUUUUCUGGUGAAACUACUACAGUAGGUAGCAUGUAAGCAAGAGCUUAAGCUGUGCCCUGACUGUAUGCAUCAAUGGCGGUCUAGUCAUGAAAGCGUGUGGAUGGGGAAGGAGAGAAGCAGAUUUUUCUCCCAUUUUGUUUUGUCCGCGUGUAGUAGUCGUAGUCAGCACGAAGGAAAUCAAGGUCAUGAGAUUUGGAUUUUACACAACUGCCACCAGCACCUUCCUACUAGUUCACACUGGCGUUUCUCUGUUCCACUAUUGGCUGCCUGCUGUAAUCUACUUCGGACAAAGUCAAUUGCCCAAUCGUCCUGAAUACCCGAGUCGUCCAUGACUUUAGGAUCCUUACUUAAUUUUAUCAAUCAACAUGCCUUAAUUUACUAGACCUGACAUCACUGCCCUUACCGGCUUCACUAAACAACUCCUCUGCCUUUUUGUGAACAGGAGAAGGCGUGUUUCUGAAAGGAAAAGAAAAACAGUUGGGUAACGAUUUGCAGAAUAUUCCGUAAGGCGCUUGUGAUGGAGAGCAAGCAUAUAUAGGUGGACAAACCCAGGCAAGAAGAAAUGCAAUCUUGCAUUCUUGUUGCUUGGUGGACGGGGUGGAGGGUUGACCUGCUGGGUGAUCAUCUCUUCUCUCAUCUAUCCACUUGAUUUACUUCCCCUUAACACGCCAGCUUCGUCUGACGCUUUCCCUUCUCCUGCUCCACUGGUGCGCUAUUAUAUUGAGGACCAUGGACUGUGACCCUUUGUGGCUAUCAACUGAAUUCGGAAGGGGGUUCAAAUUUCAAAGUAAUCUUGGUAACGUGUGAGGAAUGACAGUGGUAGGCUAGGCUGGCUCUAAUGAUGCUCGUGUGGUCAUGGUCUUUGAGACAGCACCAUGUAUUAAUCUGUACUUCAUUAUCUUAAAAAGUAUCUGAAUUGGUAGCGGUCCGUUCACCCUCAUCGAGAUUAUCUAUUGAGUUAUUAACACUACCACUUGUCAAAUGUUUUUUUAACACAGCACAACCGCAACCGCUCAUAUACAUGCGCAUACACUCACCUCAUGUACACACACACGCACACCCUACCCUUAUUAGCACCUCCGAGAAACUGAGCCGACAUAUUAUAAAGUCACCGUAGGCGGUUAUCAACUGUUAUGUGGACACAAUAUUGAUUCAACUGUUGUAUACAUUGAGAUAAUAAUCAUUUUUUGCACAAGUUAUGGAUUGUAAUGACACAAGCGUUUAAAUGACAGAUGCAAUAUGAAGAGAAUACAUACAAAUUUUGUAGCAAUAGAUAAGCAUUUUUCUUUCGUGUACCGGUUUUCUUUUAGUUCUUGAUGAUUGAUGAUGCUAAGCAUGCAAUGUAUCAUUAUUAUUA
rnacentral:lncRNA from 1 species